rnacentral:lncRNA from 1 species
AUUUCAUCUCUUCUUUUUCCAGUUUUCCUAGACUUAGUCCUGAUCAGUUACUCCAGAAAACCUACAGGAAUCUGGCUGAGGGAGACAGUGCGGACUAAUAUUUCAUUUCUCCCCACUCCUCCCUCUGAGGAAUCCAGGACUUCAUUGUGGACCCCUGUAUUAGUCCAUUUUCACACUGCUACAGAGAGCUACCUGAGACUGGUUUUACAACUUGAGGGAAAAAAGUGUGACUCUGAGAUGUACCAGCUGUUAGGCCAGAGACAACCCUCAGAUCACCUGGGACUUGCUCCUUGUUGCCUCCUCUUUGAUCUUUGCAUCAGAGGGCCCUGCCAGUCUCUGUCCUCACAGUACCCAGUCUCUUGGAGCCCAAAUGGACUACGACAGUGCCCAAGAAAGACAUAAGGGGAAGAGUACCAGCUGAGAAUACAUACCAAAGAUGCUGUCUCCAGCACUGCAUGGGACAAGGAUGAAGCCUCAUCAGCCAGCUGAACUGGAACAAGUAUAUUCUAAAACUCCAUCCUAUUUUAAUUUUUCUAUUUUUAAUGCAGAGUUAAUCCAUAUCAGCUUUCUUAACCAUAAAGCCAUUCCAAGCGCUAACUUUUGUUUAAUUAGCACUUUGCAAAUUAAAACUUCAGUGUGAAAAGUAUUUUAAGCAUAUUGGAUGGAACAAAGUAUAGUUUGAGAAUGUUAUCCAUCAUAUAGGAAUGGAUCAGACAGAACACUGUGAAAUCAACAAUGUGCUUUUAUUAAUAUUCCUCAAUCCCAGUCAUUAUCCAAUAAACCUCAUUUCUUCCUUCUUUUA